rnacentral:rRNA from 1 species
AACGAGCGCAACCCUUGUCCUUAGUUACCAGCACGUAAUGGUGGGCACCCUAAGGAGACUGCCGGUGACAAACCGGAGGAAGGUGGGGAUGACGUCAAGUCAUCAUGGCCCUUACGGCCUGGGCUACACACGUGCUACAAUGGUCGGUACAGAGGGUUGCCAAGCCGCGAGGUGGAGCUAAUCUCACAAAACCGAUCGUAGUCCGGAUCGCAGUCUGCAACUCGACUGCGUGAAGUCGGAAUCGCUAGUAAUCGCGAAUCAGAAUG